GCCGGGGUGGCCGAGCGGUUCUAGGCGCUACAGUUUGGAACUGCGCGCAGGUUCGAAUCCUGCCUCCGGCA